CACGUAGUUAGCCGGUGCUUAUUCAUAAGUUACCGUCAUAUUCUUCACUUAUAAAAGAAGUUUACGACCCUAGGGCCUUCAUCCUUCACGCGGCGUUGCUCCAUCAGGCUUUCGCCCAUUGUGGAAGAUUCCUCACUGCUGCCUCCCGUAGGAGUCUGGGCCGUGUCUCAGUUCCAGUCUGGCUGAUCAUCCUCUCAGACCAGCUAUAGAUCGUAGGCUUGGUGAGCCAUUACCUCACCAACUACCUAAUCUAACGCGGGCCGCUCCCAAAGCGGAUAAAUCCUUUAAUCCGAAGAUCAUAUGCGGCAUUAGCCACCCUUUCGGGCAGUUAUUCCUCACUUUGGGGCACGUUCCCACGCGUUACUCAGCCGUCCGCCGCUCGUCGGCAAGUAGUAAACUACUCCUGUUACCGCUCGACUUGCAUGUGUUAGGCACGCCGCCAGCAUUCAUCCUGAGCCAGGAUACAAACUAC
rnacentral:rRNA from 1 species